ACCGGUACGGUACGGUACGACGAACCUUGGUUUUUAGAACAUAUCAUGAUGAUAAUAAGUAAUUAGUUAGCAUCAGGAGCUGAUUUAUUCUAAAAUGAAAUUCAUAUGAUUACACUUGAGUAUCUGGAGAAGACAAUUAUGACUUAUGAUAAUGAACUAGGAUUAUUAUUAUUUAUUUCUCUAAUCAUAACUUGAUGCUUAACACAGACAAUCUUUCAGAUCUUGCAUCUGAUAUGGAUCAACCAUGAUUUCAUCCCUGUUCAAAUCUUUUGCAACCCAACUAGAUAGCAUCGAAUCGAUGUGUUAGUUUUCCUGGAGGCAUCAUGGAUUUCAGUCUCUAAUGAAAUAGGAAACCUUUCAAAUGGACAUAGGAUUAUUUGAUUCCUUAUAAUAAAGUUGACUUGAACCUAAACCUGAGAUAACUUUGAGAGACUUUAUUUUGGAAGAAAAAUGAGAGACUAAGUUCUUCGUGAAAUAAUAACAUUUUCAUACCAACUAUGGUUAUGCAUGUGACAUACAACUUAGCGAGGGGCACGAGUGAUGGUAUUACUUGCCUUGGUUCGGUGCUGUUCCUUCCCAAAUAGGAAGAUUCUACCUUUUACAGGUACUAUACAGAUCCAUCAGGCACAUUCUGGCAAUGCAGUGCAAAAGCAAUAGGCUCAGGAUCUGAAGGAGCAGAUAGCUCUCUUCAAGAGCAAUACAACAAGAUAGUUGCUGAUAUCACUGUUUGUGGAGGACUUAACCCUUCAAGAAGCUGAAACCAUAGCCCUUUCCAUCUCGAAGCAAGUCAUGGAGGAAAAGGUGACUCCAAAUAACCUUGACAUCGCAAGGGUUGCCCCAACUUAUCACCUUUACACACCUACUGAGGUCGAAGCUGUCAUUGCCCGCCUAUAAUGCUUGUCCUUGUACUCUUCCUCAUUCAUUUUCCUCUCCAUUUCGCAAGAUUUUCUAUAGCACUUUGAUGUGUAGUUUUCUUGAAAUUAAUCGUGCUGAGAGUCACAGGAUUCAAACAUUUGCACCUAACUCCAAUUGAAAUCAAUGUGAUUUCAUUAGAUUUAAAUCA